UUGUUGUUUGUUUUUGCUUUUAUGAAAUAACUACUCUCGAACUCAGACGGCAUGGCUCGCGUCUCGUUCGCGCGCGUACGUAUGGAUGUGGUCCGCUUUUAGUUUUUGGCGAAUACUUAGAAGCUUCAAGUUGCGGACACUGCGGUGGGCCAGGGCUUGAUGACAUUUGUUGCCCAGCUGCUGGUGCUACCGCGAAGUACUUGGAACAACGCUUCUGCUUAUUUCCUCUGCCUGCACCUUAUAUUUGUUGUGUUUGUCGAGACCUGUGCCUGUCUCUGCCUCGUUGAAGACAAAUGGACACAAGUACUGGUUGCUGUUGGUUUGUUUGGUUUGCUCAGUCUGAGCGUGCUGCAGAGCACUUGACCACUGCAGCAGUCAAGCAUGCUGUAUAUUGGGCAGUGCCAGGAAUUGCGAGAUCGAGACAGGCUGCCACUAGAAGUUCCUUGGGCCAGGUGAUAACUCAAAUACAUCCAAAUAUUUCUAUAUUUCACUAUAUAAACCUUUGUAGAAUGAGGAGAGAGAGAGAGAGAAACUUUAUUGAAAUUGUAAAAAGUUGAAGGAGGGGUGGUCGGAGCCUCUCAUUCCAGGGCCUCACUGGC